AAACCAGCGACGCCAACGGCCCCUUCUGUCAACCAGCGGGACCAAGGGGAGGGAGCAAAGGAAAGCAGGAGCCUCCGCAGUUCCCGCAUCUGACCUCAGGUCCAGGGACCUUCAGAAGGAUUCUCUGAAUGUGUCCCGUGUCAUCCUGAGACGGGAGGAGGGCAGCUGAGGCCUGUGGACACCCGGGGUAGGAGUAGGCCACGAUGCCGUGUGGGCAGGGACACGGAGCUGUAGGAACCAGAGCCACCACGGAGAUGUCGGGGCGUCCUUAGCCAUCACUCUGAAAAGAGACCGCGUUGUCCUCCACUGUCCUGGGCGUCCCUGUUCUGCGCCCUGGCAGGGAGCCCUGGCAGUGCCUACAGACACCCCCCUCAGAAUCGUGUAUGAAGUUCUUUGACCUUAGAAGCCCAGGCCUUCAACGAUACAGAAUCUCAGGCCUGGAAGACACCCCAGAGACACCUUAUUUUGCCUUAUCUGGGAGAGACGGAGCUUGAAAGUGACGUUUCCACUUACCCAUCUACGCCCUGAGAAGUGUCCGCGUCCUUUCAUCUUCACUAUUCAACACAGGAGCCCCUGGCUGCAUGUGGUUACUUAGCGCUUGACAUGUGACUAGUGUGACGGAAGAACUGGAUCUUUAAUUCUACUUAAAUAGUCACGUGCGACUAGUGGCUUCUGUACAGGACAUCACAGCUUUAGAUGCAGUGGUUGCCGAGCAAACAACUUUUAAUCUCGAGCACAGAGUUUGUACCAAGGCUGUGGAAGGCCCAGACGGCAGUCUGGAGGGACAGGGAGUGGUCUGAGACCCUGUGGACGACCGGGAAGGCACAGAGGCUUGGCACGUUAAGGACAAGUUAGUGGUGCACGAGCAUGGCAUUCGGAGAAACGACGAGAAGACAUAUUUCAGGGCUCGAAAGAACCUAGCACCCAUCAAGUCCAGCGGUCCCCAAAGCUGGCCUCAGCCCAGGGAGACACUGCUGUCGUCAAACGGCCCGUAGAGGCAAGGGCUGGACAUUGGGGAGGGGUGUGCAAAGAAUGUACUUCUGGGCUCCAGGUGUAUGAGCCCCUCCCAAUUUAGCCCAUUUACAGGUGAGGCCCAGAGCAGGUGUGUGGCUCUUCCAACACCCCUGACCGUUUGGCGACUGCACCAGCACAUACGUUCCCCCAAGUUAUUAAUCCACUUUCCCCUCUAGAACAGCCUGGAAAUAACAUGCCACAGCGGUGGUGGUGGCGAGGGCGGGGGAGCAUCCUGCCAACAUCAGAGGAAGAGCUAAAUACCAAGCAAAAGCUCAAGGGAAAAAGUAAAAGGAGGUGAGGGGAGUGGGGGGUGGCUGGUCCCCAGGCAGAGGACCUGGAGCACCGUGCGCAAACCUGAGAGCAUGCGGAGGCCGGAAUGUCACAGAUCAGACUAAUUCGAUCCAGAUCUGGGAAAUUAUUGCCCUGAGUGUAUCCUUGCAGCCCCUGCUUCCUCCUCCCUCCCUCCCUCGCAAGGCUGGGGGGCUGGUCCUGACGCCUGAGGUUAGAGAAAUUCAGUGGGAAGAUUUGGAGACUCAGAGCCAAGCAGAUCAUUACAACUCUUGUGCUCCCAGCACAGAAGUGAGGGUAGUUGUGUUUUGUAUUUAAGGAAGAAAAAAAAAAGCCUGUGUGGCCCUGAAGGAAAGAACAUUUUAGGUCAAGUUUAGGAAAAACUUGCUAAAACUCAGAGCCAUUCCUCUGAUGAUCUGGGAACUUCCCUCCCUGCCAUGUUCAGAUCGUGCCUUUUUUUUUUUUUUUUUUUUUUUUUGGUCACGGCAGUGCAGCAGAAAGGACCAUUUGCAGAACAAAUUCAGGUCAAUCUUUUGGGUUGUCCGCCUGGCUUCUGUGCUUUACGAGAUUUGCUCAGUGACUAGCAGGCCAGCGGUGUGCCGGCCCCUUCCCGGGCGAGUAGCCCCAAGCCUCACUCUAAUACUCUAAUCAGGAGCCGGAGCCUUCUCUAACCCUGAUUCCUCGGUGCUUCAGGAGUGCAGGGCCGGGAUCUCGGCCUGGUGACGUCCCGGGGGCUGGAAUUUCUGGAUGGCUUUUCCCACUGCGGGGAUUCAAGCAAACCAUUGUCAUUCUUCCCUCUCUAACAAGAGAAAGAGAAAUCCCAGCCCUGAGAGCAUUAGUUCUGGCUCAAGGACAUGGGUUUUCUUUCCUGGAAACAGGGACUGGCUCAGCGAGACGCCCCCUGAGCUGUGCUUUGUCCUGCCAGGACACCCGCGCUGGCCAGCUGCAGAGCAAAGGGGCUGCUUGGGAGGGGGAGUCCUGAUGCCCCCCCCCAGACACAAACCCUUCAUUAUUUAAAAGUUAUUCAGCAUCAGGGAAGAUUUUUCCCAGGAUAACGGCUUAGAUAACUUCAUUAAUAGGAGGAUUUGCAGGAAUCAGAGCAUUGAGCCAAGUAUGAGUUACGUAGCCUAACGGAGGAAAUAGGGAAACAAGCGGGGUGAGGAUCCCCACUGUUGGGAGUCUGCAACCGGCGGCGGGGUGAGCCCCCUUGCCCUGGCCUCCCUCCCACCCAGGUCCUCACAAGCACCUCAGCACCCAGUCGGCCCAGGGCUCCUCCGGAAAGCCCGGCUGUGACAGCGGUGCCUGGGGCCAGGCUGGGGUGUGACGCGGAACCCCUCUCCCGGGGCCUUGCCGUGACCAUUCGUCUCCGUGGUUUCUCCUAAGAGCCAGGGUUGGCCGCAGGUACCCUGCGGCGGCAGGUCCCCAAGGGCAGGCUGCAGCCCCCUGGCAGCUCACCCCUAUUGCAGGUGGCCCGCGAGGCAAAGCCAGGUGCCCGAGGAUGUUGAGAUGCUCUCUACCUCUUUUCACCCACUGACAUUUGCAUCGAUGACCUAAAAGCAACAGUGGAGAAAGGCCCCAGUGCCUUAGCACAAAUCAAGGCAACGGCAGCAAACCAUCCCCAGGGGCACUUCAGGAUCCCAGGGUCCUGGGAUGGAGCCCCGCGUCGGGCUCCCUGCUCAGCCGGCUUCUCCCUCUGCAUCUGCCACCGCCCACCUACUUAUGCUCUCGCUCGCUCUGUGUGUCAAAUAAAUAGGUAAAUAAAAUCUAAAAAAAAAAAGAGAGAGAGAGAGAGAGAAUGCCCUUGAGGAACCAUACAAAAUACUCACUUUACUAAAUCUCACCUGGAGGUACCGGCCUUCUUAGUGGUCUAUGUCAUGGAGUGGGAAAUACACGUCUAAAGCCCCUGCUGUCUCCCAGGGUCCCCUGUCUGUCCCAAGGGAAAGCACGUGCGCAAUUGUCUGAGUUACGAACUAAACUAGCUGCCCGUCGUAGAGCACGACUCCUACCUAAAAGAAUGGCUGAGAGGCCAACGACAGGCUCUCAGACUCGGAUCUCUGGCAGACUUUUUCGCAAAGUUGGCAAGUGAGCCUGUCACUUCAAAGAAAACAACCGACUGCUUGUUGCCAGUGGUAGAAAUGAAGACUUCAGGCAAAAAAAAAAAAAAAAAAAACUUUGGAAAACUUGU